UGAGGAAUAUUGGUCAAUGGGCGAGAGCCUGAACCAGCCAAGUCGCGUGAAGGACUACGGCCCUAUGGGUCUUAAACUUCUUUUGUAUAGGGGUAAAGAUAUGUACGUGUACAUAAUUGCAAGUACUAUACGAAUAAGGAUCGGCUAACUCCGUGCCAGCAGCCGCGGUAAUACGGAGGAUCCGAGCGUUAUCCGGAUUUAUUGGGUUUAAAGGGUGCGUAGGCGGGGCAUCAAGUCAGUGGUGAAAUGGUGUGGCUCAACCCGGUGUCGCCGUUGAAACUGGCGUGCUCGAGUGCGUGCGAGGAAGGCGGAAUGCGUUGUGUAGCGGUGAAAUGCAUAGAUAUGACGCAGAACUCCGAUUGCGAAGGCAGCUUUCCAGCGCGCUACUGACGCUGAGGCACGAAAGCGUGGGGAUCGAACAGGAUUAGAUACCCUGGUAGU
rnacentral:rRNA from 1 species